rnacentral:rRNA from 1 species
GAUGAACGCUAGCGGCAGGCCUAACACAUGCAAGUCGAGGGGUAGAAGGCUUUCGGGCCUUUGAGACCGGCGCACGGGUGCGUAACGCGUAUGCAAUCUGCCUUACACUAAGGGAUAGCCCGGAGAAAUCCGGAUUAAUACCUUAUAGUAUAUUGAUGUGGCAUCACAUUAUUGUUAAAGAUUUAUCGGUGUAAGAUGAGCAUGCGUCCCAUUAGCUAGUUGGUAUGGUAACGGCAUACCAAGGCAAUGAUGGGUAGGGGUCCUGAGAGGGAGAUCCCCCACACUGGUACUGAGACACGGACCAGACUCCUACGGGAGGCAGCAGUGAGGAAUAUUGGUCAAUGGGCGCAAGCCUGAACCAGCCAUGCCGCGUGCAGGAUGACUGCCCUAUGGGUUGUAAACUGCUUUUGUACGGGAAGAAACACCUCUACGUGUAGAGGCUUGACGGUACCGUAAGAAUAAGGAUCGGCUAACUCCGUGCCAGCAGCCG